UUAAGCUUCCUACGGGAGGCUGCAGUGGGGAAUCUUGCGCAAUGGGCGAAAGCCUGACGCAGCCAUGCCGCGUGAAUGAUGAAGGUCUUAGGAUUGUAAAAUUCUUUCACCGGGGACGAUAAUGACGGUACCCGGAGAAGAAGCCCCGGCUAACUUCGUGCCAGCAGCCGCGGUAAUACGAAGGGGGCUAGCGUUGCUCGGAAUUACUGGGCGUAAAGGGAGCGUAGGCGGACAUUUAAGUCAGGGGUGAAAUCCCGGGGCUCAACCUCGGAAUUGCCUUUGAUACUGGGUGUCUUGAGUAUGAGAGAGGUGUGUGGAACUCCGAGUGUAGAGGUGAAAUUCGUAGAUAUUCGGAAGAACACCAGUGGCGAAGGCGACACACUGGCUCAUUACUGACGCUGAGGCUCUAGUACAAUGGGGAGCAAACAGGAUUAGAUACCCUUGUAGUCGAAUUCU
rnacentral:rRNA from 1 species